rnacentral:rRNA from 1 species
AACGAACGCUGGCGGCAGGCUUAACACAUGCAAGUCGAACGCCCCGCAAGGGGAGUGGCAGACGGGUGAGUAACACGUGGGAAUCUACCUAUCUCUACGGAACAACACAUAGAAAUGUGUGCUAAUACCGUAUACGCCCUUAGGGGGAAAGAUUUAUCGGAGAUAGAUGAGCCCGCGUUUGAUUAGCUAGUUGGUGAGGUAAUGGCUCACCAAGGCGACGAUCAAUAGCUGGUCUGAGAGGAUGAUCAGCCACACUGGGACUGAGACACGGCCCAGACUCCUACGGGAGGCAGCAGUGGGGAAUAUUGGACAAUGGGCGCAAGCCUGAUCCAGCCAUGCCGCGUGUGUGAUGAAGGCCCUAGGGUUGUAAAGCACUUUCAACGGUGAAGAUAAUGACGGUAAC